rnacentral:rRNA from 1 species
UACGUAGGGUGCAAGCGUUACUCGGAAUUACUGGGCGUAAAGCGUGCGUAGGUGGUUUGUUAAGUCUGAUGUGAAAGCCCUGGGCUCAACCUGGGAAUGGCAUUGGAUACUGGCAGUCUAGAGUGCGGUAGAGGGUAGCGGAAUUCCCGGUGUAGCAGUGAAAUGCGUAGAUAUCGGGAGGAACAUCCGUGGCGAAGGCGGCUACCUGGACCAGCACUGACACUGAGGCACGAAAGCGUGGGGAGCAAACAGG